GACCAUGUGGCAGAAAAGUGCAAUCGUUUUAGGCACGGGGCAUAGGGAUAAGAGUUCCCUCUUGGUUA
rnacentral:tRNA from 1 species